rnacentral:rRNA from 1 species
ACGAUGGAGAGUUUGAUCCUGGCUCAGGAUGAACGCUAGCGGCAGGCCUAAUACAUGCAAGUCAAGGGGCUCGCAAGAGCACCGGCGGACGGGUGCGUAACGCGUAC